UGCAGUAAUUAUCAAACCUGUGUCGUUCCCUGUGAAGAGCAUACUCUGACUGUUUAGUGGUAAUAUCGCUGAUUAAUAUGAGAAAUUCAGUACAGUGAUGUUAUCCAGCUUUGGGGAUUUUCUCCUUCUCUUCCAAAUUUUAGGCAUGAUAUUUUAUGUUCCUCACUCUAUUUAGUUUUUUUCUCCACAAAUUAUUGUCAUUAUCAAACCGGCGUCAUUCCCUGUGAAGAGAUGUGCUUUGUACUCUAACUAUUUAGAGAUUGCUGUCGUUAUCAAUUUUGCUUUUUACUUUAAUUCACAAAUUCAGGUAACAUCUGCACUUUACACUCUAUUAUUCGACUGUUGUAUAUGCACAGUUUACUGGCAUAUUACAUGUAUGCCUGCUACUGCUCCUCAAGCAACCAUCCUGCCUUUCAAAAAAAAGGACCACUGUGUGUGUUGAUUGUAUUUUGCCUGCAGAUUGCUGGUAGUUUCAACUUUAAUAGGUGAAAACUUACAAAUUCUUUUCAGGGGAUGCAGUGUAUAUAGCAAAAUCAAACUCCCCCAAAACGGAUUUGUAAGUUUUCACCAAUUUUGUUCCUGUAGGAGCACAAUUCGUCUAUGUUCACUCACCGAUGUUUUUUCAAUUCCGCUUCUUGUGAUUUAUCUUUUUCUUUUUAAAAAGAAAAACUAACAUCAUAUUGACCUAAUUAAUGCCUAACAUGUACACACAAAGAGUUGCUACUGUUUUAUUCGUUAUACACACCUCCUGUACUUUUGGUCUCCUCUCGAAUUUCACCAAUCACAUUUUACUUUGUCUGUGUAUUUGUAGUAGUAGAUUUUGAUUAGUUUUAUGUUUCUUCUUUCUUUGUUCAUCACUCUAUCUUGUGUUGCUCGGACUCUUUAAAAAAUCGAUUGGUGCGUGUUGGAUUCUUCAAAAGUUUGUAUUUUUUGGAGAAUCCAAUACGGGUGUGAUAUCAAAUGUGAAGAAUCCGCGCAACUUAGAAUCUUUCUAUAUUUUAGUUUCAUGUUCUAUUUAUAUAUAUAUGCUGGUCUGUUGUCCGAUUUUGUACUAAAUAGGUUUAAUUGUUUUAUCGAGUGUUCCAGAUAGGUUGUUAAUGCUAUAGAUAGCGGUCCAAAUAUAUAGUUUGCCACAAUAUGAUAGAGUUAUACCACAUUCACAAAUCAUAAGUUAUUAAUAGGACUUGACAUUAUCAUGGUGGUUUGAAUGCAGAUAAGGAAAAGUUGUAACAAACAAAGAAACGAAAGUUCGCAAUAGAUGAGGAUGAUUAAGAGUCAUCGUACUAAGAAUCCAAAAGAAUACCCCUUCGCUAUUGUAUAUGUGUCAUUUUUUAAAUGAGAUUCUUUUCUAUUCUAGCCUAUUUUUUCUGUUGAGUUUUACCUACUGUGUUUCUUUUAUCUUAUUUUCAAUGCACUUAUUAAAGAUAACCAAAAUUGACAAA